UUUUUUUUUUUUUUUUUCUUUUUAGGGCCACACCUGUGGCAUAUGGAAGUUCCCAAGAUAGGGGUCUGCUAAGUGCUGCAGUUGAUGGCCACAGCCACAGCUACAAUAAUGCCAGAUCCAAGCCGAGUCUGUGACCUACAUCACACCUCGAGGCAAUGCCCGAUCCCCAACCCACUGAGUGACGCCAGGGAUCAAACCCACAUCCUCACAUAUACCAGUCAGGUUUGUUACUGAACCACAACGUGAACUCUGUAUUUCCUCCUUUCUGUACUCACUCCUGGUAUCACUGAUCAUCUGUGAUGAGUAGACCUGGUGAGUUUCAGGUAUCUUAGCAAGGUCUGCUCAUGAUUUUUAAACAAAGACCGAAUAUGUGGGAAAUGUCAUAGUUAGAUUUAGAGAUGUGACAACAAUAUCAACGCAUAUGACUAAAAAACUUUCUUAAACAUGCAUAGUCGAGUCCAACUCCUCAGAUACACUAAAAAAGUAGGGAUAUCCAAUAAUUUAUUUCAAAUUAAUGUAUCCAAUAUUUAUUUUAAGUAACACUUUUUCCUGCCAAGAACCUCAAAGCUUUGUUUUCAUUUUUCCCUUACAACUGGCCUUUUCAUAUCUUGCUUUACUACCUUUAAUCCUCCCUUCUUCCAAGAAAUAUCAAACAGAUUUUUCUAAAAUGCCAUCUCAUGCCAUAAACUCUCCUUUAAAAACCUUUGCCAUGGUUCCUCCUUCAGAAUAAAACCAAAUUUCUGAGGCCAUUCGGAAUUGGUUCUCCUUUUAUACUUCUAGUCGUGUUUAUUUCUGGGCUGAAUGACACACUCGUUGCUCUCUAACGAUUUUGAAUACUUUGCCAAUCUUUUUUUUUUUUUGGUUGCUUUUUUAGGUUGUAUGCAUUUGCACACAUGCUACUUCCUCUGCUGUGAUCCACCUGGAGAUCUACUUCUUACCCCCUCUCCUCAGCUCGGUGGUGGGUUUGUAACUCUUUCCUCUGCAUGCUCCGAAAUCGGAAACACCUGUGUGUCCUCAUUCUGUACCAUCCCAACAAUUCUCCACUGAGUAAGAGUCAGGAAAAGGAUGAAGGUGUGGCAGACUUACAACAACCACCUGUGCUGAAAUCUGGUGUAUGGAUUCAGACUAGAGAACUAGCAGC
rnacentral:lncRNA from 1 species